UGAGGAAUAUUGGUCAAUGGGCGGAAGCCUGAACCAGCCAAGUCGCGUGAGGGAAGACGGUCCUAUGGAUUGUAAACCUCUUUUGCAGGGGAGCAAGGCACGGUACGUGUACCGUGAAGGAGAGUACCCUGAGAAAAGCAUCGGCUAACUCCGUGCCAGCAGCCGCGUAUCGAUACU
rnacentral:rRNA from 1 species